rnacentral:tRNA from 1 species
GAGUGGCUCAAUGGCAGAGUGCUUGCCUAGUGUGCAUGAGGCCCUGGGUUCAAUCCUCAGCACA